rnacentral:rRNA from 1 species
AUGGCGUUUACCAUGAGGAACACAGGCGUGGUAUGCUUGGCCGCCCUCAUGGUGGUGAUGGCCACUGUGAUGCUGUCCGGUGAUGCCGAAUCAGAUAUCUGCUUUGAUAUUCCCGGACCAUGCGUGCAGUCGUUAUGCAAGGAUGCAUGUGCUAAAAAUAAUACCCCAAAUAGACCCCACUGCCAGCCCGUGACUGAUGAAUGCUGUUGUGACAUGGCCGCAAGGCCCGAGGUCGACGACGUCGUCCAUCAUGCUUGA